rnacentral:piRNA from 1 species
UGUUCAGAGCAACUGCCGGCUU